UGUCUCUGCCAUCUACAUCCACAGGAAGCAGAAGUCCUGACUAUCCUUCAUCACUCCAUGCUACCUGGGACCCUCAGUCUCUGCCACCUUCCUCCUGCUCCAUGGUGCUCAGCCUGAGAGAAAAGAGCUACUGAGAAGCCUCUAUAGAUGCUGCUCCAAAUACCUUCUCCCAGAACAGUCACCAGCCCACAGGCUCCUGAUGCUCCUCUGUCAGCCCUCAAUGUCCCAUGGCUGAGUCUGCAGACCUGCCUCUGUGUAGCAUCUCAUGACACCCCCUCAGAAUGUGACAAGCAAGCCCCACCUGAACAUGUCACAAUGGCUAUCCUCCAUUGCCUUGGGCUUGGCCAUCAAGUACCCCAAGUCCUUGCUCUCAAGAGUCAUUCUGUCUUCUUUUUCUUAUCUACCCCUCCUCCACAGCCCUGUUGAGUUUCUCAAAGGAAACUCAAAUGGUUUAAUACAAAUAGUUAUUCUCCUUUCUCUUUACCUAAGUGUCCUAUGCCUCAAACACAGAAAGAAAAAAAAAACAAGUGCCCCAUAACCUGAGAUAUUUUC